CAAUUGGAGAAACUGGUUAUUUUGCCAAGGCUUUGAUGGGAAUGGCGUGGUUCCCUUUAAGGAAGCAAAUUUGACUUAUAGAGCCAAUAAAAGCCCCUUGGGAAAACUGGCCUCAUACCUUGUCUACACAGUACUUGUACAGGGCUCCUGACCUAUGAUGGACCCUUGAAGGAAGAAAACAUCGAAGGAGGAAAGAGAAGGCUUUGACAUAAAUUGAGAGGAACAAGGAGAAAGAGGUUCGUUGCUCUGGAAACCAAGGAAGAAUCAAAGAGGAGAAUGGAAGAUGUCACAUAUCUAAGAAUUCUUUAUUGGAUUGGGCAAUUGAGGAUUCACAGAUGAUCAGAGGAGCCAGAGACAAAUCAGAGUGAAUCUGCUUUAUUACCCAGAGGAUACAAUGAAGGAAGCUUGGGGUCAUCCUAAAUUCCUGAAUUUUCUCUAUUUUGCAAGAUCCAGCCAAUAAUCAAGUCUAGUCACUUUUUCCUCCUCGUAAGUAUCUUCUGUACCUUCG